rnacentral:lncRNA from 1 species
GGUCCUGCAGCAACCUUUAGAAGGUUUUUCAACAGAAAAGGUGUUUCUAUUCUACCCACAUCAGACUAGGAAUCACAGUUCUGGGAAUGAUGCUACAAGUGAGCAGGGAGUGAAAUAGUUAUUGAUUACCACAACAAGAUGCAAAAAAAACCCGAAAACUUAGAGGAUUAAAAUGAUAAGGAAAGUCACAAGGACAGUAACGAGUAAAGCCUGGACUUGAACUUCUGAUGACAAGCUUCCGCUUUGCCUCACAGCCUCUUAGACCAAGAUCCAAAUGAGUAAAACACACACAAAAGAGACAGGUAUCACCAUGAGCUCGUGUGGCCAAGAAGCCUUUGUAUUGACUGAACUUACCUUGGAAGUAAAUGCAUGUACAGUAAUAAGUUUCAACUUUUUUAAGGACAUGGGCUCACAAAGGGAAAAACUGCUGGGAGUAGAAUAAAAACUGAGCAGGAUACAGACAACAGAGAUGAAGAAAAAGAAGUCCAGUUACAAGGAGAUGGGUGGGGAGGAAGAGUGAGAAAAUCCUAGAAAGCAAGCCAGACACUUUAUUCCUAAAACAUGGAAAGGUCAGCAUCAGCCAAUAGAUUGAGAAUUUGCAUUGUCUGAGUUAAGGAAAGCAUCUUGCAUUUUCUGGAGCACUGAGCAUCUCGUCUUGAACCUUCUGAGUUCUGGGAAGCUCCAAAUUCAUUUGCUGAAGCAAGAAGGAAAAACAGUUCUUGGAGGGAAUCUGAAAGAGAAUGAGACUGCACUGCCAAUGGUCUUCUGGUCAACCCUGGCCUGUGCGACUCCACAUGGGUCCUGUCCAUCACACUCUGCUCAUGAGAAAAUGCCCAAGAAAUACCCACAAGUUUUAAGCAAAGAAACUCCGCUUCACUGGAGAUAUGCUGUUAUUUGUGAGACCACCAUGCCAACCUAAUAUUGCUGAACAAAAAUAUUGACUUCCAGACAACACUGAAUAGAAGUUUUGGUGAUGGGCAUCUGUGAUGGCUGUUAUUAUACGCUGCCUAGAUUCUUUGGAAAUGAAGGACUCAUGCCUACAGCUACUGAGAGUGCUACCUGAAGACAACCCUCAGCUUUAAGCCCUUUUCAGGGAUCGUCUUGCUUGAAAAAAGCUGUCUCA